GACGAACGCUGGCGGCGUGCCUAAUACAUGCAAGUAGAACGGAGUUGCGAGAGGGUGAGUAACGCGUAGGCACAUACCUGGUGGAGAGGGAUAACUAUUGGAAACGAUAGCUAAUACCGCAUCCACGUAGGUGGACCUGCGUUGUAUUAGCUAGUAGGGAGGGUAAUGGCCUACCUAGGCAACGAUACAUAGACGCCCCGAGAGGGUGAUCCGCCACACCUGGACUGGGACACGGCCCAGACUCCUUCGGGAGGCAGCAGUAGGGAAUCGUCGGCAAUGGGGGGAACCCUGACCGAGCAACGCCGCGUGAGUGAAGAAGGUCUUCGGAUUGUAAAGCUCUGUUGUUAAGGAAGCGGUACCUAACCAGAAAGGGACGGCUAACUACGUGCCAGCAGCCGCGGUAAUUC
rnacentral:rRNA from 1 species